rnacentral:rRNA from 1 species
AUUGAACGCUGGCGGCAGGCCUAACACAUGCAAGUCGAACGGUAACAGGAAGCAGCUUGCUGCUUCGCUGACGAGUGGCGGCCGGGUGAGUAAUGUCUGGGAAGCUGCCUGAUGGAGGGGGAUAACUACUGGAAACGGUAGCUAAUACCGCAUAAUGUCGCAAGACCAAAGAGGGGGACCUUCGGGCCUCUUGCCAUCGGAUGUGCCCAGAUGGGAUUAGCUUGUUGGUGGGGUAACGGCUCACCAAGGCGACGAUCCCUAGCUGGUCUGAGAGGAUGACCAGCCACACUGGAACUGAGACACGGUCCAGACGCCUACGGGAGGCAGCAGUGGGAAAUAUUGCACAAUGGGCGCAAGCCUGAUGCAGCCAUGCCGCGUGUAUGAAGAAGGCCUUCGGGUUGUAAAGUACUUUCAGCGGGGAGGAAGGGAGUAAAGUUAAUACCUUUGCUCAUGGACGUUACCCGCAGAAGAAGCACCGGCUAACUCCGU